AUGGCGGACACCCGGGAAGAAUCGGAACCCCUUCUGAGCCGGGCCCGCGGCGGCAGCGGCCGCGACUGCCCAAGGGGCGUACCCGCUUGCAGCAGCGUCCAAGAGAGCCCUGGUGCCGCAGCCAGGCGGGAUCUGUGCUUGGACCAGGCUGUGGUCCUCAUCGAAGACGCCAUCCAGUAUCGCUCCAUCAACCACCGCAUGGACGCCCGGUCUCUGUGGCUCUACAGGCGGUACUACUCCGGCAGCAGCCAGUGGAUUCUGAGCUUCACCAUUUUCUUGAUCCUGGCUUUGGCCUUCGUUGAGACCCCUUCCUCGCUCACGCGCACCUCGGACGUGCGCUACCGCCUGGCCCCCUGGGAGCCGCCCUGUGGCCUGACCGAGGGCGUCGAGGCGCUCUGCCUGCUGGUCUUCGCGGCCGACGUCUCUGUGAAGAGCUACCUGAUUGGGUGGGCCCAGUUCCGGAGGAACCCCUGGCUGCUGGCCUACCUCGUGGUGCUGGUUGUGUCUCUCCUGGACUGGAUCGUGUCGCUGAGUCUCGUCUGCCAGGAGCCCCUGCGAGUGCGCCGGCUGCUGCGCCCCUUCUUCCUGAUGCAGAAUUCCUCCAUGAUGAAGAAGACGCUCAAGUGCAUCAGGCGCUCGCUGCCGGAGAUGGCCAGCGUCGGGCUGCUGCUGGCCGUGCACCUGUGUCUCUUCACCGUGUUUGGGAUGCUGCUCUUCACCGGCGAGAAGCAGGACGCCGGGCAGGACCGGGAGCGGCUGACCUACUUCUUCAACCUGCCUGAGGCGCUGACCACCCUCCUGGUGCUGCUGACCACCGCCAACAAUCCCGACGUGAUGAUCCCUGUGUAUUCCAGGAACCGAGCCUACGCCAUCUUCUUCAUAGCCUUCACCCUGAUUGGGAGCUUGUUUUUGAUGAACCUGAUGACGGCCAUCAUCUACAACCAGUUCCGGGGCUACCUGAUGAUGUCUCUCCAGACCUCACUGUUGCGGAGACGCCUGGGGACCCGGGCUGCCUACAAGGUCCUCUCGUCCGUGACAGCAGAGGGAGAAACCCACCCCGAGCGACUUGGGGUGAAGCCUGAGGAUUUCUUGCAAGUGCUCCAGAAAGUCCAGCUGGACAGUGACCACAAACAGGCCAUCACAGAGAAGCUGCAUUCCCGUGGCGGCGGCCUGCUAUCAACUGACGAGUUUCAGAAACUCUUUGACGAGUUUGAAAAGAGGGUGGUUAAAGAGCACCCGCCGCGGCCCGAGUACCGGUCUCCGUUUCUGCGGACCACCCAGUUCCUCUUCGGCCACCACUACUUUGACUACCUGGGCAACCUCAUGGCCCUCGGAAACCUCGUGACCAUCUGCGUGUUCCUGGUAUUGGACGCACACGUGCUGCCCAAGGACCGUGACGACUUCGUGCUAGGGAUUCUCAACUGCAUCUUCAUCCUGUACUACCUGCUGGAGAUGCUGCUCAAGGCGUUCUCUCUGGGCCUGCAGGGCUACCUGUCCUACUCCAGCAACGUGUUUGACGGGCUCCUCACCAUCGUCCUGCUGGUUUUGGAGAUCUCCACUCUGGCUGUGUACGGCUUCCCACACCGGGGCUGGAAGCCGGCAAUGCUGGGUCUGCUGUCGCUGUGGGACAUGACGCGGCUGGUGAACGUGCUCAUCGUCUUCCGCUUCCUACGCAUCAUCCCCAGCAUGAAGCUGAUGUCCCUGGUGGCCAGCACCAUCCUGGACCUGAUCAAGAACAUGCGGGCCUUCGGCGGGAUCCUGGUGGUGAUUUACUACGUCUUUGCCAUCAUUGGCAUCAGCCUGUUCCGGGGCGUCGUCGUGGCUCCUAGAAACAGCAGCCUAGCCUCUGUUAAUGGUUCCGUGCCCUGCGGGAGCUUUGAGCAGCUGGAAUACUGGCCCAACAACUUCGAUGACUUUGCAGCCGCCCUGGUCACUCUGUGGGACGUGAUGAUUGUGAACAACUGGCAGGUGUUCCUGGACGCCUUCCGGCGCUACGCGGGCCCGUGGUCAGAGGUGUAUUUUGUGCUCUGGUGGCUGGUGUCUUCGGUCAUUUGGGUCAACCUGUUUCUGGCUCUGAUUUUGGAGAACUUCCUUCACAAGUGGGACCGCCGCAGCCACCUGCAGUCGCUCACGGAGGAGCUGGAGGACACCUCUGAGAUGACCGAGGAGCUCCCGUUCAGGGACGUCCUGGAGGAGCCCACGGAGGAGGAGCUGGUGGAGAAGCUGAGCCGCCACCCGCACCUGCAGCUGUGCAGGUGA
rnacentral:lncRNA from 1 species